UGUCACUGACGCCUGAAACUCCACCAUUAGGGAUUCAUUCCUUUGGGUUCAGGGAUUGUUCCCUGUUGAAAUGGAAAUACCUCCUGAGAGGGGUGAACACAGUGCUAUCAGUCAUUUACAGUGUGGCGUGAAUCAUCGUAGCAGAUCCUUUCCGACCUGUUAGCUCAAGGAAAGCUGAGGAUUUUUCGAGACUGGGCAGAGCCGUGGGGACACUACUCACCUGGGAAGAGGAGAGCUGACACGCUUUAAAGGGCACGUUCCACUUGGGACAGUGCUUCUUGAUCAGAGGCUACCGGACUGGCCAGCACGGAGGCAGGAAGUGAACCCAUGGAAGCAAAAGAUGAGAAGUCAGAACAAAGGAAGACAAAGAAACAGGGGAGCUGGCUCGUGUUCUCACCUCGACCGGUCCCACAUGAGCACCCACAAGCUGGAUGCCUCUGAGCAAGACUGAGUACUUUUCUCAAAGCGAGUCCGAGUUGGGACCUUGGAGUCCAGCACUGCUGGACAUGGAUUUUAGCUUAAAAUACUUAAGGGCAAGUUUUUGGUAAGUUUUUAUUAUUAUUGUUUUGUCUUUUUAGGGCUGCAGCUGCAGCACAUGGAAGUUCCCAGGCUAGGGGUUGAAUCGGAGCUGCAGCUGCUGGCCUACACCACAGCCACAGGCACGCCGGAUCCCACAUGCAUCUGCGACCUACACCACAGCUCAUGGAACACUGGCAGGCCAGGCCACACUUGAAUUUACUCAAGCCCAGCCUGGUCCUCAUCUCUGAGCUCCCAAUCUGUAUAACCAAUUGCCUCUUCACCACUUCCAGGCUAUCUCCAAGACAGGCGCCUGCAACACGUCUGCAGGUGAACUCAUACUCUCUGGGUACUCCUGGAUCUCUUCCGGUGUUCUCCCCUCUCCCCACCAUUACGGAGGUCAGAAAACCAAGAGUUACCUUGAAUACCCCUUCCAUUUCCCAUCCAGAAUAAAUACCUGUCAGCUUUGCUUCCUAAAUGUCUUUUCUCUAGUCCGAGCUACCAUCACUUCCUUUCUGCCUUCCCUCCCAGCCAUUUUGCCUACUGCAACCAGAGUAAUCCUGCAAAAUGCAAAUCUGAUAUUGUUCACUCCCCCCCACGACAGCCCAUUUAAAAACUGUCCCUGGGACAGUUUAAUCUACUACUUUGAACACAUUCUUAAACUAGAGAGGCUGUAAGCUCAAGCUAGAGACUUAGCUGGAAGUUGGCAAACAGGGAUCUAGUCCUAGCUGUCACUGACUUGGUGCGUGGCCUCUGUCACUACUUCUCACUAGGUUGGUUUUCCAGUCUGUGAUAUGGGAUAAAUAUUCUUGGAUUCACAAAGUUCAAAAGAAAGAGGCUGUGAAAGCACUAGGUAAGUUACUAGAUGUAACGGAUCUGUCAUGAAGUCUGGAAAAGGAAUGAAGCUCUAAUUGCAGACCUUGGGGAGACGGACAACAGAG